UACGUAGGGUGCAAGCGUUGUCCGGAAUUAUUGGGCGUAAAGCGUGCGCAGGCGGUGAUGUAAGACAGUUGUGAAAUCCCCGGGCUCAACCUGGGAACUGCAUCUGUGACUGCAUCGCUGGAGUACGGCAGAGGGGGAUGGAAUUCCGCGUGUAGCAGUGAAAUGCGUAGAUAUGCGGAGGAACACCGAUGGCGAAGGCAAUCCCCUGGGCCUGUACUGACGCUCAUGCACGAAAGCGUGGGGAGCAAACAGG
rnacentral:rRNA from 1 species